rnacentral:sRNA from 1 species
AAGUUGUUAUUGAUAUAUAUUUUUUUAUGUUUCCUGAAAAAUUAUAUAAUCUCUUAUCAAUCAUAAUAGAUUAAUCCUUUCUAAAAAAUAUUUAUAUAUAGAAAAAAGUUUGUUAUUUUUCUUGAAAUAUA